GAAGAACUGUAAUGCCAUUAAUUUGGUGUUGCAGGGAAACAGGACUGUUACUUUGAAAAAAUUAGAGUGUUUAAAGCAGGCUAACGCUUGAAUACAUUAGCAUGGAAUAAUGAAAUAGGACGUUCAAACCUAUUUUGUUGGUUUCUAGGAUUGACGUAAUGAUUAAUAGGGAUAGUUGGGGGCAUUAGUAUUCAAUUGUCAGAGGUGAAAUUCUUGGAUUUAUUGAAGACUAACUACUGCGAAAGCAUUUGCCAAGGAUGUUUUCAUUAAUCAAGAACGAAAGUUAGGGGAUCGAAGACGAUCAGAUACCGUCGUAGUCUUAACCAUAAACUAUGCCGACUAGGGAUCGGAUGAUGUUAAUUUUUUAAUGACUCAUUCGGCGCCUUACG
rnacentral:rRNA from 1 species